rnacentral:pre_miRNA from 1 species
CGUCUUACCAGACAGCAUUAAAUUGUUGACUAAAUUUUUUAAUACUGUUAGGUAAAGAUGGC